rnacentral:rRNA from 1 species
GAUGAACGCUAGCGGGAGGCUUAAUACAUGCAAGUCGAACGGUAAGGUCUAGCUUGCUAGAUACACGAGUGGCGAACGGGUGAGUAACGCGUACACAACCUACCCCCAAGUGGGGAAUAGCCCUGGGAAACUGGGAUUAAUACCCCAUAAUAUUAUGUUUUUUACGGAUGACAUAAUUAAAGUUCCGGCGCUUGGGGAUGGGUGUGCGUCUGAUUAGUUAGUUGGUGAGGUAACGGCUCACCAAGACGACGAUCAGUAGGGGGCGUGAGAGCGUGACCCCCCACACGGGUACUGAGACACGGACCCGACUCCUACGGGAGGCAGCAGUAAGGAAUAUUGGACAAUGGGCGAAAGCCUGAUCCAGCCAUCCCGCGUGCAGGAUGAAUGCCCUAUGGGUUGUAAACUGCUUUUAUUUGGAACGAAACGCCUGGAUUUAUCCGGGCCUGACGGUACCUUAUGAAUAAGCACCGGCUAACUCCG